CUGAGCAGACUUUUGUUGCUGCUCUCUCUCUCUCUGACUCUCUCUGACUCUCUCUCCCUCUCUCUCUCUCUCUCUCGCAAUGUUAUUUUCCCCUCCUCUAGUAGUGAGUGUGUGGAGAGAUUUUUUUUUUGCUAUGGAAGAGCAAGAGGAGGUGCAGAUUUCAUCUAGAGCAAAAUAGAACAAGGGGGAAGUAAAGAAAAUAAGAAGAAGAAGAAGAAGAAGAAAAAGAGAGGAAAAAGAGAGAAAGACUUCACCCCAUCUGCCUCUCUUCCUCUCCCUCAUUCCCUCCUCUGCCAACGACUUUCACCUCAGAAAUAGCGGAGGGACCAACUUCUAAAGGCAGUCAGGAAGGAGCUGGAGUGUGAAAUCUGAGAAGAGAAGCAAGAUGAGAGGCUGACCGGCGCUGUGUUUGCUAUGCUGUCCAGGAGCUGCCAGACUGGAACAUACAGAUGACACCUGGCAGAGAUCUUGAUAAUGGAGGACUCUGCUGCUGAGGACUUGGGCCUGUGAGAGGAUGUGGAAAAGGUAAGGCAAUUACCUUUACCAAAAUCUCCCUGGUGAAGUCCACCUUGACAGCGCGCACCAGAACCACCAAGAUGUAGGCGUUCAACCUUGAAAGUAGAGAAUUCAUUGAUUUUAAAAACUGGCUCCUUCAAACAUGUGAAAAUCAAUGGCUUUCUUACUUCAAUUGAACCACCCACACAUCUUUCCAAUCAAAGGUUGGUUUCAUAAAGAUAUGGGUCAAUGACGUAUAAGGAUUUUCAACAGGCCAAAUUUAAAACACAAAAAAAUAGCAUAUCUAUUGCAAUUGUUCAAACAUUCUGAAUGUUGUGCACACAGAAAUUAAAAUAAAAAAUGAAAUGAAGCGUUUUUAGUGUUUUUUUCACCUAUAUGAAUCGGCCAUGGCCUUAAAAAACGUCAUGUGGUGCGACCGCGAUUUAUCUUAAAAUUAGUUAUUUUCCAUAAUGUGCUUAACUUUUUUUUUACAAGUUCUCAGUAAUUUAAAGUGUUUAGAAACAAGUAUUUAAAUUUCUUUUGAUAUUUUGUCAAUAAUGAUUUCAUAUUUUUGUUCCAUAAUGUUACAGUCCCGUUCUUCAUUGUGCUGACACCACUAUAGUUCUUCUAAAUUUCAUUACACUGAUUUAAAAAAAUAAAAUCUACCAGUCACCUAAGUAUACUGUAUCAGUGAUUAAUAUUCCAGCUACAGAAACUAGAUAUUAAAUUUUGAAUUCAAUACAGUUACUGCUUUUAUUGGUCGCACCACAUGAUGAGUGGUCGCACCAAAUGACAUGAAGAUAUUAUAUAAUAAAUAAAGGUCAAUAAACAGCUCAAUAAACAAUACUUUUAAUA